rnacentral:rRNA from 1 species
AUUGAACGCUGGCGGCAUGCCUUACACAUGCAAGUCGAACGGCAGCAUGGGUGCUUGCACCUGAUGGCGAGUGGCGAACGGGUGAGUAAUACAUCGGAACGUACCCGGAAGUGGGGGAUAACGUAGCGAAAGUUACGCUAAUACCGCAUAUUCUGUGAGCAGGAAAGAGGGGGAUCGCAAGACCUCUUGCUUUCGGAGCGGCCGAUGUCGGAUUAGCUAGUUGGUGAGGUAAAGGCUCACCAAGGCGACGAUCCGUAGCGGGUCUGAGAGGAUGAUCCGCCACACUGGGACUGAGACACGGCCCAGACUCCUACGGGAGGCAGCAGUGGGGAAUUUUGGACAAUGGGCGCAAGCCUGAUCCAGCCAUGCCGCGUGAGUGAAGAAGGCCUUCGGGUUGUAAAGCUCUUUCGGCGGGGAAGAAAUGGUUUCGGUUAAUACCUGGAGCUGAUGACGGUACCCGCAUAAGAAGCACCGGCUAACUACGUGCCAGCAGCCGCCGUAA